rnacentral:rRNA from 1 species
UACGGGGGGGGCAAGCGUUGUUCGGAAUUACUGGGCGUAAAGGGCUCGUAGGUGGCCAACUAAGUCAUGCGUGAAAUCCCUCGGCUUAACCGGGGAACUGCGCCUGAUACUGGAUGGCUUGAGUUUGGGAGAGGGAUGCGGAAUUCCAGGUGUAGCGGUGAAAUGCGUAGAUAUCUGGAGGAACACCGGUGGCGAAGGCGGCGAUCCUGGACCAACACUGACACUGAGGAGCGAAAGCCAGGGGAGCAAACGGG